UGUGUGUGCAUAUACAUGCAAGUUUAAUGUGCAUGCACAUGUGCGUGAUGGUCAAUGUACUAGAAUAAAAACUCCAUUAACAUGCAAAACAUUUGUGUUGAAAUAAUAGGACAAAAAAGGGGCUUCAAAGCUGAAUGAGAUGAAUUGCCAGGGAAGCAGCUGUUGGCCUAGUUAGCAGGCCUGUCCUUAACACAGGACCUCUGAUCACACACACACACACACUCACACACACACACACACACACAGGGAGACAUAUUACAUUAGUGUGUGUGUGUGUGUGUGUGUGUGUGUGCCCCUAAUGUUGCUGUGCUGUACCAUCCCAUAAUCCACCAGGUCCGCAGGUCAAUACCGGCAGUCACUCCCAUGGCAUGAGUGGCGGAAAGCGGCGGAAAGCGGCGGAAAGCGGCGGAAAGCGGCGGUGGCGGCGGCCUGGAAUGCAGCCAGGUCUUCCUAGGGUAGUGAAGGUCCAGAAGCACGACAAGCGGCCGGGUUGAACAGAACGAUUCAUUCAGAUGAGGCGGAAACGCAGUUCCAGCUGGAUCCUCAAAACGACGACAGAACUGGGCAGACCAGCCAGCAGAAAGCAGUCACUUAAGUGUUUAGGAUCUCUCCACGAGUGGAAUCCACAGCCAGGCUUUAUAGCAGCGAUGAUAAGCAGAGAUGCACUGCAGUGGGAGGAAGCCAGAGCACCCAGAGAAAAGCCAUGUAUGCAAAGGGAGAACAUGCAAACUCCAUGCAGAGACAUCCCGGGAAGGCUGGGACGCUAACUGGGGAUCUUCUAGCUGCAAGGCCACUGCGCAGCCCGUUUCUGGUUCAGCCGCUCCAGCCCACGCUUCGCCUUGGAUCACCAUUGUCACCCCGUCUGUCGAUAACUCGAGGAUACUCAGCUGUGACGCUCCAGCCAUCCGACGCUUACCUUCUACCUUCAGCCACACGGAUUGUCAGCCAGCCGCUAAACACCACUCGGCUCUGGAGCCCAGUCCGAGCAUCCUGACUCUUCUGUUGUUAAGUAACUGAGAAAAACCGAUUGUUUGCCUGAGCCGAAAACCAGUAUGGGAGUAGCAUGAAAAGCUUGUCAAUUUUUGUUCAGAUAAACCUCGCCUAGAUGAGUACCUCGAUUUAGAGAAACCAUUGUAAAGAUUCUUAUUUUACUUUGUUAGUAAUUCGUGGAUUCCAUUAGUAAUGAUAAUCCUUUCGAUUUGAAGAAAUUGUGAACUCGUUCUCCAGCCACUAGUCAGCGCUACCUUCGUUGUUGCUUGUUUAGUACCUCCGUAAAGAUUCGCAUCUUGCUUUGUAGUAAUUUGUGGAUUUAAUGCGUAAUGAUAAUCCUUCGACUUGAAGAUUUUGUGAACUCGAUCUCCAAGCCGCUAGUCGGUGCUACCUUUGUUGUUGCUUGUUUCGUUCUCCCUUGUUUAACUUCCUGUGUUUCGCCUCAUGCUUGGGACUUGUAGUCCAUUGUGACAAAAGAUUAAAAUUCAUUCACUUUAAA